AAGAAAACGAAACGCAACCAAUGAGCGCGCGAAGAGCGACCGAACAAUGAACAUUUGCCGUGAGUUUCCGGCCAAAUAUCGAACAUCGAGUGAAUGAAUUGACUGUCGGCGUUCAUCAUUUUUUUUCGCGUCGCCAUUUUUUUUUACACGUUUCUGUUUAUUUUGUUAGUUUUGUUAGUUGCAUAUUAUUUAUAACAGUGUACUUAACGUUAAGGUGUUGCUUACAUUUGUUGCAUCUGGGUUUUGGCUUGCAUCUUAGGAUAUAGCAACAUGGCUCUUAGUGACGAGCUGGCUCAAUUAAAGCUCCGUAGGGGCUAUGUAAAGGGUGCAAUAACUCGUGAAGAAAGUUUUUGUAACAGCGAAGAAAUUGUGAUCGCGUCUAGUGAGUUGCUCACAGAGCGGCGCAGUCGCUUGGCGAAAAACUUUGCCUCUUACGAGGACCUUAACAAGAGUAUUUUGUGCAUAAAUCCAAAGGACGAUGAAGACCCUUUUGUGUAUGAAAGAAUUCAUAGAUUUUUUGGAGUCCAGAGCGUUGGCCAGGGAGAAUGCAAUGGAAACAAUGCCUGUGAGUACUCCCAGUGGUGUGAAGCCUGGCAAGCCUGCAUGUAAUACAGUAGCAGCAGUCUCAUGUGCUUCAGAGGGAAUCACUGCCUCUAACGCCGCAAGGUCCCUACCUGGUUAAUACCAGCCUAGGUUAUAUUGUAGCAGGCAGCCUACCGGUAUCUGUUGGAAACAUCCAUUCUUCAAAUUUGUGUAUAACAGUUCAAGGUACCCCCCAUAAUAUUUCUCAUAAUUCUCAUAAUGAUCAACUUGAUAGUAUUGAACAUACUAUAUCAAAUUUUUGGAAAUGUGAAAAAGUACCUGAAAUUUAUAAGGAAGGUUUUACUGAGCAUCAACUAGCUGAGGAAUGUUUUCAAAACUCUGUCAAACUUGUUGAUGGAAAGUUUUGUGUAGAUUUACCUUUAAAACUUAAUUUAAAUGAUAUCCAGAUGGGUAACUCAUUUAAUCAGGCAUUGCAUCGUUUUCAUAAUUUAGAAAGGCGUUUCGCUAAAGAUGAUAAGUUAUUUCAGCAGUAUAAGAAGUUCAUUCAUGUUUAUCUUGAGCAAGGCCAUGCCAUGUACUUUGAUAUAUCUAACUAUGAUCCUAGGGCAGGUAAUGUGUAUUUCUUACCUCACCACCCAGUCAUUAAUUUAAAUAGUAAAACUACUCCGGUUCGAGCUGUCUUUGACGCGAGCAUGAAAACCAAUAAUGGUAUUUGUCUAAAUGACAUGAUGCUUAAUGGGCCUGUUGUGCAAAAUGAUUUAUUUGACAUUUUGACACUAUUUAGGAGUUUUAAAUAUGUCUUACUGUGUGAUAUAAAGGCUAUGUAUAGGGGUAUAUUAGUGAGUAAAGACCAUUGCUGCUUGCAAAAUAUUCUUUGGCGAGAUUCUGUUGAUCAAAGUGUGCAAUGUCUUCAGCUACAAACUGUCACAUAUGGUUUAAAGAGUUCUGCAUUUUUAGCAACUAGGUGUUUGAUUGAACUUGCUGAACGGUACCAAGAAAAAUAUCCAUUAGCAUCUUUUGUGUUGAAAUAUUCUACAUAUGUCGAUGAUGUUUUAUGUGGUUCCAACGAUAUUUUAGAGCUUGUUGAGAUAAAAAGGCAACUUAUUGAGCUUUUGAACUUAGCUAGUUUUUCAUUACACAAGUGGUGUUCAAAUAACACUGAAAUAUUAGAUGACAUUCCUAUUGAACUUCAUCAAUUAAAUAAAGAGGAUUUUGAUAAAACAAAUACUUUUGUGAAAACUUUAGGCUUGUCAUAUGAUGUGACUUCUGAUACUUUAAAUAUGAAGUGUCCAAGCGCUGAAAUACAAAAACCUUCUACUAAGAGACAAAUGUUAAGUUUUAUUAGCAAAUUUUUUGAUCCUUUGGGUUUGGUAGGUCCUAUUUUGGUGCAAGCUAAAUACUUAAUGCAACAAGUCUGGUUUGAAAAGUUAAAGUGGGAUGAUGUUCUCCCUGAUGAUUUAAAUAAAAAAUUUCUUCAAUUUGUUGAAGGUUUGAUGAAUAUGUCUUGUAUAUCUGUUCCUAGAAAUAUCAAUGUAUAUCCACAUAAAAGGCUAGAGUUAGUUGGUUAUGCUGAUGCAUCGAAUAUUGCACAUGGGUGUUGCCUUUAUUUGAGAGUAGUCAGAGAUGAUAACACUGUAAAUGUUAACCUUUUGUGUUCCAAGUCUCGUAUUAAUCCUAAGGAUAAAACAUUAACUAUUCCUAGACUUGAGCUCAAUAGUGCUUUGUUGUUAGCCAAGUUGGCAAGAAAAGUGCAUGCUACUUUAGCAUUAAAAUAUAAUUAUAUUCCUAUUUACUUAUAUUUAGAUUCAAAGAUUGUUUUAUCAUGGCUUAAGAUUGAGUCUGUAAAGCUAACUGCUUAUGUUGCUAAUAGAAUGGAAAAAAUCAAGCAGUUAUCAAAAGAUGUACACUGGGACUAUGUCAGCACCAACGAGAAUCCUGCUGAUUGCUUAUCUCGCGGUCUUAAACCAGAUCAGUUAAUCGAAAACUCAUUGUGGUUUCAUGGUCCACAGUACUUGCAAAACAGUGAAUAUGUUCAUGAUAAUUCUCAGAUAAAUACUGAUGUUUCUGAUACUUCUGAGCUCAAUUUAAUUCCUUCAACAUGUAAUACUUUAGUUAAAUGUAAGGAAAAUAAUUUAUUUUACAGUUUUAUAGAAAAGUAUUCUAAUUUAAAUAAAAUGACUAGAAUAAUGGCUUAUGUCAAACGUUUUGUAUUUAAUUGUAACAAACAGAAUAUUAAGAAAAGGCAGGGACAUUUAACUCCUGAGGAGGUGGCUCUUGCUUUGCAUGACUUGAUUAAAAUUGAUCAAAGCUCACAUUUUGAAAAUGAGUUGAAAUGUUUAAAGUCAAAAGUUGAUCUAAGUUCUUACUUAAGUAGUUUAAAUCCUUUUGUUGAUGGCUACGGCUUAUUAAGAGUAGGUGGUCGCUUGCAAAAUGCAAACCUCUCAUUUCAGCAAAAGCAUCCUAUUAUUUUGCCCAAAAAGUCAACUUUGACCAAACUUAUCAUUCUUAAUGAACACAUUCGCCUUAAGCAUGCUGAGCAGAAGCUAAUUCUUAGCAGUUUAGGCGAGCAAUAUUGGCUAAUCAAUGCUAAUAGAGAAGUAAAAUCUGUGUUGCACAAGUGUGUAUUAUGUUUCAGAUUUAAGGCUAAAGCUUCCACUCAACUUAUGGGUUCAUUACCACUUGAUAGAGUAAAUAUUACACGUCCUUUUCAAAUUGUAGGCACUGAUUAUGCAGGUCCUUUCAAUGUUAAACAAACUAGAGUAAGAAAUCCUGUUAUAACCAAGGCUUAUGUUGUUAUUUUCAUAUGUUUUAUUACUAAAGCAAUUCACAUAGAAUUGGCGUCAGACAUGACAACUAAUACUUUCUUAGCUUGUUUAAAAAGGUUUAUAAGCCGUAGAAAUAAGCCUACAAAAAUAUAUUGUGAUAAUGCUAGUUAUUAUAGAGGUGCUGAUAAUGCACUCAAAGAUUUGCAUAAGCUACUGAAUUCCACAGAUCAUCAAAACAAAGUGUUUGAUUAUGGUUGUUCAGAGAGAAUACAGUUUCAAUUUAUUCCUUCAUAUUCCCCUGUAUUUGGUGGCCUGUGGGAGGCAGGAGUAAAAAGUAUAAAAUAUCAUAUGAAACGUGUAAUUACUCAGAGUGUACUUACAUAUGAAGAGCUGUAUACAGUGUUAGUGCACAUAGAAAGUAUUUUAAAUUCUAGACCAUUAACUCCCAUGUCAAGAGAUUGUGAUGACAUGUCUUACCUGACACCUGCACAUUUCCUUACUGGCUCACCAUUGACUUCAUAUCCAGAGCUUAAUUUGACUGAUGUAAAUGUAGGAAGGCUUAGUUUUUGGAAACAAUGUUCUCAAAUGCAACAGCAUUUUUGGAAUCAAUGGCAUAAACAAUAUUUAGUUAUGUUGCAGAGUCGACCUAAAUGGAAAACUCAACUACCUAAUUUAGAAAUAGGCAAUAUGGUAUUGUUUAAGUCUGAUAAUGUAUCUCCAUUGAACUGGCCUGUAGGUAGAAUUGUAAAGGUCAUUCCAGGAAAAGAUGAUUUAGUUCGUGCAGUGGAGGUAAAAACUAGCAAAGGUCACAUUGUAAGAACAAGUGUUAUGAAAGUGUGUCCAUUACCUAUUGAUUAUAAUUAAUGUAUCUACCCUUUAUUUUUAAAGCAAGAAUUGCUCUUGGGUUUAGUUUAUCUUUAAUUUCUUUACUAAUCCAUUUGGGUAAUUAUUUUAAAUGUUUUAAUUUAAUUGUCAUACUGGCAAUGAUGAGGUUAGCUUGUGGCUGAGGCCCCAGCAUGUUCAUGACAUAUAAAACCUCAUUGGAGGAUGUAUUUUAUUUUUAUUUUUUCUUAAUUGUCAAGAACAAAAGAAAUGACGAUCUCUCUGUUCAAAUUUUUUCCUGUGAGCACGUUUAUAUAAUUUCUUCUACAAUAAAAGUUAUUUAUACCUAUUUACUACUUGGAAAGCCUUUUUCUUUUAUGUUCCCUAUGGCCACAC